rnacentral:rRNA from 1 species
AUUGAACGCUGGCGGCAGGCCUAACACAUGCAAGUCGAACGAGUGGCGGACGGGUGAGUAAUGUCUGGGAAACUGCCUGAUGGAGGGGGAUAACUACUGGAAACGGUAGCUAAUACCGCAUACCAUCAGAUGUGCCCAGAUGGGAUUGGCUUGUUGGUGGGGUAACGGCUCACCAAGGCGACGAUCCCUAGCUGGUCUGAGAGGAUGACCAGCCACACUGGAAGUGAGAGACGGGCCAGAAGCCUACGGUAGGCAGCAGUGGGGAAUAUUGCACAAUGGGAGCAAGACUGAUGCAGCCAUGACGCGUGUAUGAAGAAGGACUUAGGGUUGUAAAGUACUGUCAGCGGGGAGGCGUUACCCGAAGAAGAAGCACCGGCUAACUCCGUGCCAGCAGCCGCGGUAAUAC